rnacentral:rRNA from 1 species
UACGUAGGGGGCAAGCGUUGUCCGGAUUUAUUGGGCGUAAAGAGCGUGUAGGCGGUUUGGUAGGUCCGUUGUGAAAACUCGAGGCUCAACCUCGAGACGCCGGCGGAAACCAUCAGGCUAGAGUCCGGAAGAGGAGAGUGGAAUUCCUGGUGUAGCGGUGAAAUGCGCAGAUAUCAGGAAGAACACCGGUGGCGAAGGCGGCUUCCUGGACCGACACUGACGCUGAGGCGCGAAAGCUAGGGGAGCAAACGGG